rnacentral:rRNA from 1 species
GCUAGCGGCGCGCUUAAUGCAUGCAAGUCGAGCGAUGAGACUCCUACGGGAGCACAUCAGCGGCAGACGGGUGAGUAACACGUAGAUGACGUACCCUCAAGACGGGGAUAACGGAUGGAAACAUGCGCUAAUACCGGAUGACCUUACGAUGUCAGAAUGGUAAGGAAAGCUACGGCGCUUGAGGAGCGGUCUGCGGCCCAUCAGCUAGUUGGUAGGGUAAAGGCCUACCAAGGCGAAGACGGGUAGGGGGUGUGAGAGCACGGCCCCCCACAAUGGGACUGAGACACGGCUCAUACUCCUACGGGAGGCAGCAGCAGGGAAUAUUGCACAAUGGACGGAAGUCUGAUGCAGCGACGCCGCGUGAGUGAAGAAGGCCUUCGGGUUGUAAAACUCUUUUGAGGGGGAAGAGCGAGGACGGUACCCCUGGAAUAAGCGUCGGCUAACUACGUGCCAGCAGCCGCGGUAAGACGUAGGACGCGAGCGUUAUCCGGAUUUACUGGGCGUAAAGCGUCUGUAGGCGGAUGUGUAAGUUGGGCGUGAAAGCUCCGGGCUUAACCCGGAGAGGCCGUUCAAUACUGCAUAACUUGAGGGUGUCAGAGGGGAGCGGAAUUCCCGGGUGUAGCGGUAAAAUGCGCAGAGAUCGGGGAGGAACACCAGUGGCGGAAGGCGGUUCCCUGGGGCACAACCUGACGCUGAGAGACGAAAAGCUAGGGGAGCGAACAGGAUUAGAGACCCUGGUAGUCCUAGCCCCUGAACGAUGAAUGCUAGCUGUGCGGAUCGAAAUGGUUCCGUGCACGGAGCCGUACGCGGAUAAGCACUUCCGCCUCGGGGAGUACAGGCCGCAAGCGUUAAAACUCAAUACGAAUUGACGGGGGCCCCCGCACAAGCAUCGGAGCGUCUGCUUUAAUUCGAUGCUACACGAAGAACCUUACCUGGGUUUGACAUGUAGGUGGUAGUGAAUCGAAAGGUGAACGACCCUUCGGGGAGCCUACACAGGUGCUGCAUGGCUGUCGUCAGCUCGUGCCGUGAGGUGUCGGGUUAAGUCCCCUAACGAGCGCAACCCUUGCUCCUAGUUACAAGUGUCUAGGGGGACUGCCGGCGGAAAGCCGGAGCAAGGUGGGGAUGACGUCAAGUCAGCAUGGCCCUUAUAUCCAGGGCUACACACACGCUACAAUGGUCGGUACAAAGGGCAGCGAAACCGCGAGGCGGAGCGAAUCCGAGAAAAGCCGAUCGUAGUUCGGAUAG